ensembl:lincRNA
GAUCCUUGGACUUCCAUUCACAGCUGCGACUGAACCAUUGUUGGGAAUUGGGCUGCCGACUUUCUGCUUCUGGAUAACUGUUCUCGUUAACUGAAGUGUGUCAGCCUGGAACGUGGCUUUGGUGCUUAGAAACUCACCCUGAGAAAGAUUCAGGCUACACUGGGAUCCUGAACACUCAGAAUAGCGGCCAGAUGGCUAAUUAAGGCUUUCUACUGGCUUAAGCCCAUGUCCAAGCAGUUUUCUUUGCAUCAAUAUAUGACCAAGAUGCUCUCAUUGGUCCGAGUAAACAAGGUUUGGGAAUCCAUGAUCUCAGGUUGCCAGGCUUGGUGGCAGGUACUCUUACCUGCCCUGCCCUCCUUUCUGAGAAACUUGCUUGCAGAAGGAAGAGAACAGAAUUUCCCCAGCUCAGAAGUUAACCAUGCUGUUGGAUGCUUAAGAAUCCUGCCAAGGACAGUUUGCUUGCCUGUUCUUCUAUAAGGGCUCUGCAGCUGUUGAGCUAAACUGGGCUUUCUGGUCCCUUCUGCUCUGACAGCAUUUUAAAACUCAGUGUAAAGAGUGAAGAAGAAAUGACUCAGUGGCUAAGAGCAUGAACCAUU